CCUACGGGAGGCAGCAGUGGGGGAUAUUGCACAAUGGGGGAAACCCUGAUGCAGCGACGCCGCGUGGGUGAAGAAGCGCCUCGGCGCGUAAAGCCCUGUCAGCAGGGAAGAAAAUGACGGUACCUGAAGAAGAAGCACCGGCUAACUACGUGCCAGCAGCCGCGGUAAUACGUCGGGGGCAAGCGUUAUCCGGAUUUACUGGGUGUAAAGGGGGCGCAGACGGGGAUGCAAGCCAGGAGUGAAAGCCCGGGGCCCAACCCCGGGACUGCUCUUGGAACUGCGUGGCUAGAGUGCAGGAGGGGCAGGCGGAAUUCCGGGUGUAGCGGUGAAAUGCGUAGAUAUCAGGAGGAACACCGGUGGCGAAGGCGGCCUGCUGGACUGCAACUGACGUUGAGGCCCGAAAGCGUGGGGAGCAAACAGGAUUAGAUACCCGAGUAGUC
rnacentral:rRNA from 1 species